AAUAAAAUCUACUAGGUCGUUUCAAUAUUUUUUAAAGUUAAUCGCUCAAAUACAAAGUAAUGAUUUAUUCUGUACAAGUUAUUAGAAAAAUCAAUAAAUUCUGGAAGUGUAUUUUAUUGAUGAAAAACAUACUAAAAAGUAUAGGAAAAUCUAAUGAAUUCCAUGAGCCUAAUAAUCCUAAUCAAAUGUAUUAGAAAAUCUAUUAAUUUUCAAAUAUUUAUUUUUAUAUGGAAUUUACAUUUUGCAUAUCUAAUAAACUAACUAACAAUUCGCACCGACUCGAUUGUUAUGUGAAUUUGGUAAGAAAACCCGUAAAAUGGCCAAAAAAGUACUGCAAACUGUACGCACCGAGGCCGAAAACAUCGCUAGCGAUGAAGGUAAGUUGAAAAUCUGUUUUGUUUAGCGAUAAUUUUAAUUUUUUCUACCCCCCGUACAGCUCGCAGUAGAUGCGAAAAAAAACUUCACCCACCCGGCCGGACAAACACCGGAACAGUUCCAGCGCCGAACGAGGUGAAAACUGGGCAGAAACGACCAUACAUUCACAUCAUCAACAGCAGGAGCAAUACUUUGGCGGAAAAAAAACAUCACUCGUCCAGUUCCUCAAUCAUCAUUGCGACCACACAACCAGUCAUAACAUCCCGAAGGCUGGAGAAUUGUGCUAAUGACCGGAAUCCAGCUAGCAUUAUGUAAAGAGUAUUCCGCUUGGUUUCCCUGCUUGCCGGAUCUCUUCACACAAAAUUUAGCAACUGAAGAAGAAAAUAUUCCGAAUUCGGAUCGAAACGAAUCAAAAACAAGAACAAAGAAUAAGUCGCCACAUCAAAAGCCGCAGCAGUGGACUCUGGCAUAAGAAAACAUCCAACAGCCGUCACUGAUCGUAUCACCAACACCACCACUAGCCCGAGCAUUGACCGGUAAAGUCCCGUACAAACACCAGAGCAUUUCCGGCGCCAAACAAGGUGAACACUGGGCUGGAACAAUCAGCACCACUUCAUCAACAGCAGCAAAAGUAAACAUUACUCUGACGGAUGAAAACUCGUCCACGAUUGCGACCACAGACAACAGCCGCUACCGAUCAGAAGCAUCACCAAAUCCAACAUCAUACAUUCGCUGGAAGCAUUCUCUCUCAUUACUACCCGCUUAUCGCUGGAAGAGCCUAUAGCUACAAGUACUUGAUUUUUCUUCUCCCACGGCAGAAGAGCACCCGGCAGCGGAAGUGGCUCAAGCAGCCGUUACAUUUUUUUGGAUAGUUACUCGGACAAAAUUCUGCGGCUCAAACAGGAACAGAAGGCUCUGCAGGCACGGCUUCAGCGGCAAUCGACGUCACCGGAUUCCCGGACCAAUGGUUCGGGACUGCGUAAGCCCGGUCAAGAUCCAUUUGUCGGAGGUCAGAAACGGAAGAAUCCAUUUUUCAGAAGUGACGAUCCUGUUCAGUAAGACCACUUCCAAAGAAGUGCUGGCCACUGAUGCUACAGUUGCGAACAAACUUUUUGAGCCAAGUUCACAUCGAUCCACACCAACAACUGAUCGGUAAUCAGUGCCAGUAAGCUACCAAAGCCCAUCAAAAAUUUUACCAUCGAUAGGAGGUCUGACGUCUUAAGACCGUUUCUUCGGAAUCAAGAAUUCGUCGGCUGGUCUAAUAUUUCGCUUGGUGCGAGAUUCUAUCAAAGUACAUUAAACUACAAUACAAAGAUUUUACAAAAGGAACUUGAUGGAUACGCAAAUUUGAGGUAGAGUAACCUGGAUGAUGAUUCAGAUUUCAAUCCUAUUUUGCGAUCCUGGUCUUAUGCUAAAGUCGGUGGAACGGUGGAUGGCAUCGUCAACAACGUUGGAUAAUAUAGGAUAGGGAACUUACAAUGAAAACGGAACAACCACCCCCGAAGUGUCAUUUCCUAAUUUGAGCACUUAAGUGAUUAAUAAAAUAUUAUAAUGCUUCAA